rnacentral:rRNA from 1 species
UUCUGGUUGAUCCUGCCGGACCUGACUGCUAUCGGAUUGAUACUAAGCCAUGCUAGUCUUUGUAGUAAUACAAGGCAUACGGCUCAGUAACGCGUAGUCAACCUACCCUAUGGACGGGGAUAAUCUCGGGAAACUGAGCAUAAUACCCGGUAGACCACUUCUCCUGGAAUGGUUAGUGGUUAAAAUGAUUCGUCGCCAUAGGAUGGGACUGCGGCCUAUCAGCUUGUUGGUGAGGUAAUGGCCCACCAAGGCGAUUACAGGUACGGGCUCUGAGAGGAGAAGCCCGGAGAUGGGUACUGAGACAAGGACCCAGGCCCUAUGGGGCGCAGCAGGCGAGAAAACUUUGCAAUGUGCGAAAGCACGACAAGGUUAAUCCGAGUGAUUUCUGCUAAAGAAAUCUUUUGUUAGUUCUAAAUCUACUAGUGAAUAAGGGGUGGGCAAGUUCUGGUGUCAGCCGCCGCGGUAAAACCAGCACCUCAAGUGGUCAGGAGGAUUAUUGGGCCUAAAGCAUCCGUAGCCUGUUCUAUAAGUUUGCGGUUAAAUCUAUACGCUCAACGUAUAGGCUGCCGUAAAUACUGUAGAACUAGGGAGUGGGAGAGGUAGACGGUACUCGGUAGGAAGGGGUAAAAUCCUUUGAUCUAUUGAUGACCACCUGUGGCGAAGGCGGUCUACCAGAACACGUUCGACGGUGAGGGUUGAAAGCUGGGGGAGCAAACCGGAUUAGAUACCCGGGUAGUCCCAGCUGUAAACGAUGCAGACUCGAUGAUGCAAUGGCAUAGAGCUAUUGCAGUAUCGCAGGGAAGCCGUUAAGUCUGCCGCCUGGGAAGUACGUACGCAAGUAUGAAACUUAAAGGAAUUGGCGGGGGAGCACCACAAGGGGUGAAGCCUGCGGUUCAAUUGGAUUCAACGCCGGAA